AAUUCCCAGAAAUGACCCAAAAAUGACCCAAAAAUGACCCAAAAAUGACCCAAAAAUUCCUGGAAUUGACUCCAAAAUUCGCCCAAAAUUUCCAGGACUGACCCCAAAAUUCCCAAAAAAUUCCCCUCCAAAAAUCCCAAAAUUCCCCCAAAAAAUCCCCCAAAAAUUCCCCCAAAAAUCCCCCAAAAAAUCCCCAAAAAAUAAAAAAAAAUCCGCCAAAAAACCCAAAAAACCCAAAAAUCCACCCAAAAAUUCCCCCCAAAAAAUCCCAAAAAUCCCCCAAAAAAUCCCCCCAAAAUCCCCAAAAAAUCCCAAAAAAUCCCCAAAAAUCCCCAAAAAAAUCCCCCCAAAAUCCCAAAAAAAUCCCAAAAAAUCCCAAAAAAAUCCAAAAAAAAUCCCCAAAAAUUCCCAAAAAAAUCCCCAAAAAAUCCAAAAAAAUUCCCAAAAAAUAAAAAAAAACCCAAAAAAAUCCCAAAAAAAAUCCCUAAAAAAUCUCAAAAAAAUCCCAAAAAAAUCCCAAAAAAUUCCCAAAAAAAUCCCAAAAAAAUCCAAAAAAUUCCCAAAAAAAUCCCAAAAAAUCCCCAAAAAAUCCCAAAAAAUCCAAAAAAAAAUCCAAAAAAAAUCCCAAAAAUUCCCAAAAAAUCCAAAAAAAUCCCAAAAAAAUUCCAAAAAUCCCAAAAAAUUUCCAAGAAAAUCCCAAAAAAAUCCCAAAAAAUCCCCAAAAAAUCUCAAAAAAAUCCCCAAAAAUUCCCAAAAAAAUCCCAAAAAAAUCCCCAAAAAUUCCCAAAAAAUCCAAAAAAAAUCCAAAAACUCCCAAAAAAAUCCCCCAAAAAAUCAAAAAAAAUCCCCCAAUAAAUCCCAAAAAUUCCCAAAAAAAAUCCCCAAAAAAUCCCAAAAAAAUCCCAAAAAAUCCCAAAAAUCCCCCAAAAAAUCCCCCCAAAAUCCCAAAAAAAUCCAAAAAAAUCCCAAAAAAAUCCCAAAAAAUUCCCAAAAAAUUCAAAAAAAAAUCCCAAAAAGUUCCCCAAAAAAUCCCCAAAAAAUCCCAAAAAAAUCCCAAAAAAAUCCCAAAAAAAUCCCAAAAAAAUCCCAAAAAAUCCCAAAAAAUCCCAAAAAUCCAAAAAAAUCCCCAAAAAAUCCCAAAAAAUCCCCAAAAAAAUAAAAAAAAAAUCCCAAAAAAUUCCCAAAAAAUCCCAAAAAUUUCCAAAAAAAAUCCAAAAAAAUCCCAAAAAGUCCCAAAAAAAUCCCCCAAAAAAUCAAAAAAAAAUCCCCCAAUAAAUCCCAAAAAUCCAAAAAAAAUCCCAAAAAAUCCCCCAAAAAAUCCAAAAAAAAUCCAAAAAAAAUCCCAAAAAAAUCCCCAAAAAUCCCCAAAAAAUCCCAAAAAAUCCCAAAAAAAUUCCCAAAAAAAUCCCAAAAAAAUCCCAAAAAAAAUCCCCCAAAAAAUCCCAAAAAAUCCCAAAAAAAAUCAAAAAAAAUCCCCAAAAAAUCCCCAAAAAAUCCCAAAAAAUCCCCAAAAAAUCCCAAAAAUUUUAAAAAAAAAUCCAAAAAAAUCCCAAAAAGUCCCAAAAAAAUCCCCCAAAAUCCCAAAAAAAUCCCAAAAAAAUCCCAAAAUAUCCCAAAAAAAAUCCCAAAAAAAUCCCAAAAAAUUCCCAAAAAAAUCCCCAAAAAAUCCCCCAGAAAUCCCAAAAAAAUCCCAAAAAAUCCCUAAAAAAUCUCAAAAAAAAUCCCCCAAAAUCCCCAAAAAAUCACAAAAAAUUCCCCAAAAAAAUCCCCAAAAAAUCCAAAAAAUCCAAAAAAAAUCCCAAAAAAAAUCUCAAAAAAAUCCCAAAAACUCCCCAAAAAAUCCCAAAAUUCCCCCAAAAUUCCCGAAAUUCCCCCAAAAUUCCCGAAUUUCCCCAAAUCCCCCGGAAUUGAGCCCGGAUUUUGUUCCCCCCCCCAGAGGCGAUGCGGCCGCGCCCCCGGGAGCAGCUGCUGGGGACCCUCGUCCUGCUGAUGGUGACAACAGGUGGCCAGGUGUCAGGUGACACUCGCGUGGUGGGUGGCCACGCCUGCGUGCCGCACUCCCAGCCCUGGCAGGUGACAGCUGAGGGACAGGGCAGGGACAGGAGAGGUCCAGGAGAUGUUCCAGGUUCCUGGAGAUGUUCCUGGAGAUGUUCCAGGUUCCUGGAGAUGUUCCUGGAGAUGUUCCAGGUUCCAGGAGAUGUUCCUGGAGAUGUUCCAGGUUCCUGG
ensembl:lncRNA